rnacentral:tRNA from 1 species
AUAUCAGGUUAUUGUUCCAAUCAAAUGGCGAAUUUUUUGUAUUGUAUUUUACAGUACCUUUUAUAUGUACUG